rnacentral:lncRNA from 1 species
GGGUGAAUUGGUGAUGUUUCAAAAAUAUGUGCUUUUCGCAAUCUUGCAAUCAAAGUAUAAAGCUUUUUAAAGUUUCUUGAAAUGCAAGCAAGUGCAACGGAAAAAACGUAGUAGACUGCGUUAGAAAUAGAGUUCACUGGAAUGUAAAAGAUAAGGGAUAGAGAAAUUCAAACAUAGGUUUUUAUACUGGUUCGGCCAACAAUGCCUACAUCCAGUGUCCUUCCACCCGAAAACAAAUGCACUAUAAUGGUUGCAGUUUUUACAACAAGGAAUUUAUA